GUGCUCGAUUCAGCAGCAUAUACACUAAAAUUGGAACGAUAUAGAAAAGAUUAGCAUGGCCCCUGUGCAAGGAUGACAUGCAAAUUCAUGAAGAGUUCCAUAUUUUU
ensembl:snRNA U6 U6 spliceosomal RNA